rnacentral:rRNA from 1 species
AGGACGAACGCUGGCGGCGUGCCUAACACAUGCAAGUCGAACGAGGUCCAACCGGUGGCAACACUGGUGAAGACCGAGUGGCGAACGGGUGAGUAACACGUGAGCAACCCGCCUCGAAGACUGGGAUAACCCCGGGAAACCGGAGCUAAUACCGGAUACCCCCACCGGGUCGCAUGGCCUGGUGAGGAAAUGGAUUCCGCUUUGAGAGGGGCUCGCGGCCUAUCAGCUUGAUGGUGGGGUAAUGGCCUACCAUGGCACCGACGGGUAGCUGGUCUGAGAGGACGAUCAGCCACACUGGGACUGAGACACGGCCCAGACUCCUACGGGAGGCAGCAGUGGGGAAUCUUGCGCAAUGGGCGAAAGCCUGACGCAGCAACGCCGCGUGUGGGACGAAGGCCUUCUGGGUUGUAAACCACUUUCAGCAGGGACGAUUGUGACGGUACCUGCAGAAGAGCCCGGCAACGUACGUGCCAGCAGCCGCGGU